AUUGAACGCUGGCGGCAGGCCUAACACAUGCAAGUCGAACGAGUGGCGGACGGGUGAGUAAUGUAUGGGAAACUGCCUGAUGGAGGGGGAUAACUACUGGAAACGGUAGCUAAUACCGCAUACCAUCAGAUGUGCCCAGAUGGUCUUAGCUUGUUGGUGGGGUAACGGCUCACCAAGGCGACGAUCUCUAGCUGGUCUGAGAGGAUGACCAGCCACACUAGACCUGAGACCCGGUCCCGACUCCUAUGGGAGGAAGCAGUGGGGAAUAUUGCACAAUGGGCGCAAGCCUGAUGCAGCCAUGCCGCGUGUAUGAAGACGGACUUCGUGUUGUAAAGUACUUUCAGCGGUGAGGCGUGACCCGCAGAAGAAGCACCGGCUAACUCCGUGCCAGCAGCCGCGGUAAUUC
rnacentral:rRNA from 1 species